rnacentral:lncRNA from 1 species
AUAUCACCUGCCUUGGUCCCAUCCCUGCACAGAAGGCCUAAUUUCCUCCCCAUGCCAGCCCCUUUCUGCCUUGGGCCCCCUCAAAGUAUCCAAGUUCCAAGAGUUCAGAAGGCCACAGAAAACUUGCAGGACAGACUCACUAGUGAAGAGAGGCAGAGGUUCUGAUUCACAGUCCGAGGUUGUGACUCACCUAGGGCUACACAUCAGUAGUGAGCAGAGGUGGAGGGACAUGUGUAUCCAGGGGGUCAGUUUUUCACCCUUCCUCAGCCCCCUUGCGUGGCCCACACCCCAGGAAGUCAGAGGCAAAGGCAGCAGUCUAAAGAGAGGAGGCACCCAUGUUCUAGAAGGGCCCCGGCACCUGGAGAGUGACAUGUGAGGAGAAUCCAGAGGGUGGAAAUGCUGGCAUGUGGGGCGCCUGAAGGAGAGACACUCUGGCCGCACUGGCUCAGUGAGAGGAGGCUCGUGGGUCCGAGGCCCAGCAGCCUGAGGCUCUCUCUGCUUGCACUUGUCUUCAGCCAUGGGAGAGCCACCAUCUCACUGAGCUACAGCCUCAGCUUUCCUCCCUCAGACCAGACCAGCAGCAGAAGCAACAGCAUACAUGACACCCAGUACAGCUACACACACACCACUUUUCCCGAAAUAAAUCUUCACGUACUUCCCAUGUCCGUGCACAUACACCUCCAGGUACCUCGUGAGACCACAGACACACAGAUGUCAUAGUCUUUUGCAGAAACUCCUGUGAAGAAAUUCCUUCUGGUAUGAAAAGACUCUGUCGGUGAUGUCAGCUACUCUUUAUUUUCCAGUUGUGAGAACUGAAGCCCUAGAGAAGCCUGGGAAUUGCUUAGGAGCUCAGGGAGAAUGCCGAGGCUGGGACCAGAACCCAGGUUCCAGAUGGCCAGGCUGUGCUUUCAGUCCACUGCAUUCUCAUUCCCAAGCGGCCUCUCACUGAUUUCCCAGGCCACAGCCAUUUCCUCAUCUCGGACACCAAUCUGGUUCCCUGGACAGAUAGGCUCAACACACACUCGGGUACAACACACACACACACACACGCACACACAUACACACACGCACACGCACACACACAGGCACACACACAUGCACACACAUGUGCAUACCAUACCAUACCAUACCAUACCAUACCAUACCAUAUCAUACAGCCACUUGGCUCACUGUAUUUCCUUAAGCUUGCUCUUGAAGAGCCUUUCUGGAAGCCUGGCUCCUGGACUUUGAGCUAGGGUGAAAUGGCAAUGGGGCACAGGAGGCCAGCCUUAUCUCUUGCUUCCAGCCUGGAACCAAUAGACAGAAGACUGGGGGUGGCAGGGCGGUGUGGGGAUGAGGCAGAGAGACAGAUGCACUGGUUAGAGACCGGUGAGAACAGGUCAUACCAUCCCCAAACCUGGCUUCUCUCUAAGGCCCAUCUUACCUUCCCAACCCUCAGAAAGUAAGAAAGCGGGGGAGGGAGACAGUGGAAGGAGUUAUCUAAUGGAGAGACAGUAUCCCUUUGGACAGCGCUGCCAGGCUUCCCAUCUGGAGAUGAGGGGAAAACACAAAUAGGUAUAUGGGCUGGCACAGGGUUUGGGGAGAGGGGCUCUGAGGUGUGAGAACUGCCCCCAUUGCUUGGAUCCUUUUCUUCUCAAAACCCCUUUCCUUCCUUUCCAAGCCGGGCUUGGGGGGGAUUCAUGGCUUCACUGGCUGGGGCCAACCUUCCGGCCCUGUGAUCCCUUCACCCAACGCUUACAUUUGGCCUCCUGGCCUUCAGUGCUGCCCCCCUGACUGCAGCUAUAGGAGAGGUGGCAGGGUGCUUGGGUGUGGUUCCCCCCAAGUAACCGAACAAACAGUGCCCACCCCUCCUCAGCCCCGGGGCUGGAGACAGACCCGGUUUUGGUUUCUCCGGCUCCUUGAACACACAGAGGUACACGUCCUACCAUAGGAGGAAGCAAUGACUGUUACGAGGUUGGCGGCUCUAAGAGGCGCGGGGCUGGGGACCAGUGGACCAGCAGGGUAGGGGUCUCUCCUGCUGCAUCCCACCGGGCCCAGGUCAGCGCCCCGUGCACCGCGGCGACCCCGCCCACUACUGAAUGUGGCAGGCGGUGGAGGAAGUGGCCUGACAACACAUGCAGCAGCUGGAUGUUCAAAUCUUGGUUGAUCUGCUGUAGAAAAGGUUCGUGUCAGCUGGAAGGGCAUCACCCUGGGCUGGAGCUGCCGCUAUCACCCCAAGACCACAGAACAGCCCCAUCUCAUGCCAGGGUUUGCCCGAUUUCAGGUCAACUCCUGUAAGGUGUCUGCCCGCAUUUCACACCUGUUCUAUUUUAGAGCCCCUCUUUAAUAACCCCGGGCUCGCUGUAAUUCAGGUUAGUGAUUUCUUCCCAAAUUCUCCCAGCCCAGGCCCAGCCUAACGCGGAGCCCCUCCUCCACAGGAUUCUGCCCCACGUGCCUUUCUUCUGCCCCUUAGGAACAACACCCCACCCACCCCCGCCCACUGCCUGGCUGCCUGGUAAAGGUAGUCUGGCUCCCGUGGUUUGUGGAGGCAAGGGGUGGAGCCUCACCUCGGCAGAGGAGUAGCCAGAGGAAGAGUAUCUGGACAUGUCAAAGUCAUCGUCGCUGGCCAUGAGAAGAGCGAGAG